CAUUCAGCGUUUGGGUCAAGAUGAAGGCGGGUUCUGGACAGACGUACCCAGUCAGGGAAUGUUUACUUUGCCUCCACUUCUGUUCCUCCCCGCCCUGGUGCUGCUCCGGGUCACAUACUCGUCCUGAGCCGGCUUCAGCCUCUCCGCGCAGAAGUCUCCCGGAGCCGACUUCUGAGAGUCGAGUACUCCUAUGUGAAGACUACCAAGCUCGUGUUCAAGGGAACCAAGGCGAAGAGGCGAGAUGGAAAGAAAGUAUCAAGGAGUGAGCUGAAGCCACUGCCCUUGAGAACCCUCUCGAGGAGUCUGGGCUCAUGAGGAUGCCAGAAUAAGUGGCAGUAAGAAGAAAAAGAACAAAGAUAAGAAAAGAAAAAGAGAAGAAGAUGAAGAAACCCAGCUUGAUAUGUUGGAAUCUGGUGGACAGUAACAAACUUUGGUGAAAUUUCAGGAACCAUAGCCAUUGAAAUGGAUGAGGGAACCUAUAUACAUGCACUCGAUAAUGGUCUUUUUACCCUGGGAGCUCCACACAAAGAAGUUGAUGAGGGCCCUAGUCCUCCAGAGCAGUUUUCGGCUGUCAAAUUAUCUGAUUCCAGAAUCACCCUGAAAUCUGGCUAUGGAAAAUAUCUUGGUAUAAAUUCAGAUGAACUUGUUGUUGGGCGUUCAGAUGCAAUUGGACCAAGAGAACAAUGGGAACCAGUCUUUAAAAUUGGGAAAAUGGCUUUGUCGACCUCAAAUAGCUGCUUUAUUAGAUACAGUGAAGCAGAGGACAUAGAAGCAAAAAGUAAAACAGCAGGAGAAGAAGAAAUGAUCAAGGCUCUCCUAAUCUCUGUCAGACCUUCACCUUUAUGACCUUGCCUUAUCUACCAGAACACAGAUCCCUCUUACUAAAGAUUAGAUCCUGUGCUGAAAGAGAAACCAAGAAAAAAGAUGACAUUCCAGAAGAAGACAAAGGAAAUAUAAAACAAUGUGAAAUCAAUUACGUGUGUGUAUGCUUUUCCUUUUAGACCUACAGAUUUGACAGUGAAGUGCUUCUCAAAGUGCUUUCAAAAUAAAUUACCUAAUUAGCUGGGGAUGGUGGUGCAUGCCUGUAGGCCCAGCUACUUGGGAGGCUGAGACAGGAGGAUUGUUUGAGCCCAGGAGUUCAAGGCUGCAGUGAGCUCUGAUCACCACUGCAUUCCAGCCUGGGUGACAGAGCAAGAUCCCGUCUGAAAAAAUAAAAACUGAUGGACAAGAAGAAGCAACACGAUGUAGCCUCUAGGACAGAGCACUGAGCUAAAUUCUUUUCUUUUCUUGAGGGUUCAGUUUUCCUAAUCAUCCUACCAGCUCCCAAAGGUACUCAGUCGGGUUAGUCAACCUCUCUAUUCAUUCAUAGAAUGGGCGUGAUGCCAGUCAAAGGCUGUUCUCUGGCUAGGACACAGGGGACUCCAGCCAGCAUGCCCUAAUAGAAGUGGGGCUUUGUGCUACCCAGUCAAUGAGUGGCCCUCCUCUUGAGAGGUCACAAAGUUCAUCUUGUUGUUCAAAAGCUCCAGCUUAUUAAAAAAAAUGUACAAUUAGACUUUUUUUUUUUCUCCCCCAAGACGGAGUCUCGCUCUGUCCCCCAGAUUGUAGUGCUGUGCCAUGAUCUCAGCUCAUCGCAACCUCCGCCUCCCAGGUUCAUGUGAUUCUCCUGCCUCAGCCUCCCGAGUAGCUGGGACUACAGGCACAAGCCACUGCCCUCGGCCAAUUUUUGUAUUUUUAGUAGAGACGGGGUUUCACCAUGUUGGCCAGGCUGUUCUCGAACUCCUGACCUCAAGUGAUCUGCCUGCCUUGGCCUCCCAAAGUGCUGGGAUUGCAGGCGUGAGCCACUGCGCCUGCCCUACAAUUAGACUUUUUUAAUAAGUGAAAAAGAAAUUAACAGUAUUUAUAAAUUUAAUAGUAAAUAUGUAUAAUCAGAGUUUGAGGUAUUUUUCAAUGAAGACAUUUUCUUUGCAGAAAGAAAUUUCAGAGCUUCCAAGACCACAAACUUAAAAUAAGUAAAGAAGAGAGUAAAAUUCUUAAAAAGGCUCAGAAAGAUGGAUUUUUGCAUGAAACGCUUCUGGACAGGUAGCUAUUUACUUAUUUUCACUAUUUUUCAGUAGCCAAUAGAAAUGGCAUGUAGAAAAGCUAUAUUCUCUUAAAUUACUGUAGUUUUCACAUUUUUGUCUUUAUUUAUAAUUUAUGAGUGUGGCAAUAUUACCUAGAGAGGACAUCAUGAGUUUGGGAAAAGACUGUCAAGAAAGAAUAUCUAAAAAUUAUAACCGAUUCUAAGUAUAUACUUUAAGAAAUUCAGGUUUGACUGUAUCUACUUCAUAAAUUUAUCAUUAUCUUUUUAUAACUAUUAGAACCAGAGUUAGAAAGAAGCAGUUUGACUAAUACAAAAAUUAUGUGGAUUCUGUUAGAGUAGUUCAGGUUCCUUAAAAUAAGCAUAUAUCAACUAAAAAACUAAGUAUAAAAGCUAAAUAAGUGAAAUUGAAGCAGUUUUAUUGUAAGAUUUGGAAGAGUGCAGGAUGUUUAUCAUAGCACAUUAUUAAUAUUUAUUAUUCUUCCUAUGUAGAUAAGUGAUGGCCUAGAUUUACAACAUAGAAAAACAGGUAGAGACGUUUAGCUGUGAGUGUACAAGCAUAAAUCAGUUAAGUGCCAGAUGUUGAUAAUCACCAGCUGCUCAUUCAAGUCCUAUGUUGCAAAGUUACUCUUACCCUUUUUUUACAUUACUUGAUAAAGGCAAUGUUUAAUUAUGUAUUUCCUGUUAACUAGCUGGUAGAGUUCAUACCUAAAGUCAGUAAAUAAUGUUAAGAAUUUUUUCCAGCUGAGCAAAUGAAUAUGUGUCUAGUUGUAAGAAAUCAAGAAGAGGAUAUAAAAUAUAAUCAGGAUAUGGACUCUAAAACGGAAUAAGCUCUGUGUCCUGUAACUUUUUUCACUUGUAAUAAUACAGCAUUCUCACCCUGUUAAAUGGAAAUUUAGAGCACCCUUAAAUUCCAGAAUAAUUAAAAUUGCUAUUUGGAUUGAAAAGCCCUUAGGCAACAUUUAUUGAAUAUUAGGAAAUAACUUUUAUAAGAUUAGAAUCCAUUUUUUAUGGAAACCCAAUUUAAAAGUAUACAUGUUUUAAUAUAAGUGUUGUGGUAAUACAAUAACCAAAAUUGAACACACAGUUUUAAAGCUUUUUAUAUUUAGUAGCAGUUGAAUAUAUAUGGCAUGUUUUACAUAGAUUAAUUUUACUAUUUUUCUUUAUUUAAAAAAGAGAACCAAAUUGAAAGCCGACAGAUACUGCAGAUGACUGGGAUUUUUGUUUCUGUCUUACCUUUUUGUGUUUUUUUUCUGAAUAAAAUAUUCAGAGGAAAUGCUUUUACAGA
rnacentral:lncRNA from 1 species